GACGAACGCUGGCGGCGUGCCUAAUACAUGCAAGUCGAACGCAGUGGGGACGGGUGAGUAACACGUGGGUAACCUCCCAUCAGAGGGGAUAACACUUGGAAACAGGUGCUAAACCGCUACUGAUGGAUGAACCCGCGGUGCAUUAGCUAGGUGGUGGGGUAACGGCUCACCAAGGCCACGAUGCAUACGCGGCCUGAGAGGGUGAUCGGCGACAGUGGGACUGAGACACGGCCCAGACUCCGACGGGAGGCAGCAGUGGGGAAUCUUCGGCAAUGGACGAAAGUCUGACCGAGCAACGCCGCGUGAGUGAAGAAGGUUUUCGGGUCGUAAAACUCUGUUGUUAGAGAGGCGGUAUCUAACCAGGAAGCCACGGCUAACUACGUGCCAGCAGCCGCGGUAAUUC
rnacentral:rRNA from 1 species